GGAAGUUUUUCGGAUUCCUGGGCGUAAGGGCACGUAGGUGGUCAGGCAAUUCGGUCGUGGAAUGCCGACGCUCACCGUCGGCACGCCGGUCGAAAAUACCUGACUCGAGGGCGUGAGGGGUCGCUGGAACUCCUGGUGGAGUGGUGAAAUGCGUAGAUAUCAGGAGGAACGCCGGAGGCUAACGUGAGCGACUGGUGCGUCCCUGACACUGAGGUGCGAAAGCUAGGGGAGCAAACAGGAUUAGAUACCCUGGUAGUCCUAGCUGUAAACGAUGGACACUAAGUGGGGGAGGGUUAACCCUUCUCUGCUGCAGCUAACGCGUUAAGUGUCCCGCCUGGGGAGUACGGCCGCAAGGUUAAAACUCAAAGGAAUUGACGGGGGCUCGCACAAGCGGUGGAGCAUGUGGUCCAAUUCGAUGCAACGCGAAGAACCUUACCCGGGCUUGAAGUGGAGGUGGUAGGAACCGGAAACGGUAACGACCCCGCAAGGGGAGCCUUCAUCAGGUGUUGCAUGGCUGUCGUCAGCUCGUGUCGUGAGAUGUUAGCUUAAGUGCUGUAACGAGCGAAACCCUUGUCCUUAGUUGCGACCUCGCAAGAGGGCACUCUAGGGAGACUGCCCGCGCUGAGUGGGAGGAAGGUGGGGAUGACGUCAAGUCAUCAUGGCCCUUAUGUCCGGGGCAACACACGUGCUACAAUGGCGUGGACAAAGGGUUGCCAAGCCGUGAGGCGGAGCCAAUCUCAAAAACCACGCCCCAGUUCGGAUCGGAGGCUGCAACUCGCCUCCGUGAAGCCGGAAUCGCUAGUAAUCGCGGAUCAGCCACGCCGCGGUGAAUAUGUUCCCGAGCCUUGUACACACCGCCCGUCAAGCCACCCAAGCACGAGGUACCUGAAGCCCGUUGCCUAACCGCAAGGAGGGCGCGGUCCAAGGUAAAGCGUGUGAGAGGGCUAAGUCGUAACAAGGUAAC
rnacentral:rRNA from 1 species